rnacentral:rRNA from 1 species
UACGUAGGCAGCAAGCGUUGUUCGGAGUUACUGGGCGUAAAGGGCGCGUAGGCGGCUUUUCAAGUCAGGGGUGAAAUCCGGCAGCUUAACUGUCGAAGUGCCCUUGAUACUGAUGAGCUCGAGGGAGGUAGGGGUAUGUGGAACUUCCGGUGGAGCGGUGAAAUGCGCUGAUAUCGGAAGGAACGCCGGUGGCGAAAGCGACGUACUGGACCUCUUCUGACGCUGAGGCGCGAAAGCUAGGGGAGCAAACGGG